CUCCAAGUGACCAUGACCAGUAGCUGUCCUGGCCUGCCGGCCAACAUGUACUUCUUCAAACAGACCCAUCGAUCUGCUGGUCUCAUCAAACCAAAACAGUGGGUGCUCCUGCCUAUGCAAAUUGCAUGACCACAUCGUUUUAAAAAAAAAUGUACUCCAUGCCCAAAUUCAGCAGCUGCCCUCCCUAUUCAGGCAAUGCAACAAUGCAAUGCACACUUCCAGCCACAGGAUUACAAGGGCUGGUAGCCCACUGCCGGUGAUGGCACUCUUGCCCCCAAUAUCUGUGCUUGCACUCUCUAGACACCAAUCAUCC
rnacentral:lncRNA from 1 species